AACCCGGCUGCGUGAAGCUGGAAUCGCUAGUAAUCGCGGAUCAGAAUGCCGCGGUGAAUACGUUCCCGGGUCUUGUACACACCGCCCGUCACACCAUGGGAGCCGGAAACGCCCGAAGCCAGUGGCCUGACCGUAAGGAGGGAGCUGUCGAAGGCGGGUCCGGUGACCGGGGUGAAGUCGUAACAAGGUAAC
rnacentral:rRNA from 1 species